ensembl:lncRNA
UGAUAAAUCUCAGAACAUUAAGAUAAGUACAUCAGGAAAUAUUGUCAAUAGCCAGAGGGGGAAAAAAAAAAAAAAACCCCUUUUGUAUUUUUUUAUUCUAAAUCUGUUACACUGGAGAGUCAGAGACGUUCAGAUCCAAUUGCAGUAUUUAUUAACAGAGUGGUCAGACAGGUGGAAAUCAGGAAUGUUGUCAGGUAUGUCAGGGGUAACCAGAAUCGAAACCAGAAACAAGCAGAGAUCGGGGCAGGCAGCAGAGAAUCAGAGUCAGAAUACACAAUCCAGAAGUCAGACACGGAAGAACAAACAAAGGGAAAACGCUCGGAAAUGUUAGACGGGCUGAACAAGACUUCGCAGUGUGAUGGUGUGAGUGUGCUGCUUAUAUGGGUGUGUGUGUAUUAGCUGCAGGUGUGUGUGCAAUCAGUCCCAGGAGUGAGGCAGGAUGGGAAAUGGAGUUCUGAAUGAGUCCUGAGUGGAGUGCCCUCUACUGAAGCUCACAGGCACUCCACCUAGAGAUCGUGACAUAGCCCCCCCACAAGGAGCGGCUUCCAGACGCUCUAUACAGUCUUGGAGGGCGGUGGAGCGGAGGCGGAACAGGGGGAGGGAUGGAGGGCCUGGUCCAUGUGGAAGUGGAAUGGCUGGCGACCAAGGCAGAGCCGACGGAACAGGAGUCCACCGGGGCGGAGCAGGCGGAACUGGAGCCCACCAGGGCGGAGCAAGGAGCCCCCACCGCUGAGCAGAUGGGAUAGAAGCCCACCAGGGCGGAGCAGACGGGACAGAAGUUGACCAGGGCGGAGCAGAGAACCAACACAGCUGAGCAGAGGAGACAGAAGCCCGCCAGGGCGGAGCAGAGGACCACCACAGUGGAGUCAACCGUACAGGAGAGCCAGUCUGGUCAGGUGGGACUGAAACAGAGAACAUAAACAGGUUAAUGGCGGCCUCCGUGGUCGUGAUGAGGUGGUUAGAGAGUUCCCAAACGGCCUCCAUAGCUGUGACAGGGCCGGCAGAGAGUUCACAGCCGGUCUCCAUGGCCGUGACAGGGUAGGACGAGAGUUCAUAGACGGCUCCUUAGCCGUGACAGGGCAGGCAAUGAGUUCAUAGACGGCCUCCGUGGCCGUGACAGGAUGGGCGGUGAGUUGGUGGAUGACCUCCUUGGCCAUGACAGGACGAGAGUUCCUGGAUGGAUUCUACUGACACCUCCGAAGGUUCUGCAGCAGUUACAGUCUCCUUGACAUCAAUACAACAGGCUGAGAGAACCUUGCUUGGUGCAACAGACAGGCUGUGACGAGGCUCUGGAUGAUCUGUUGUGGUAUGAUGAAACUCUGGAAGAUUGGUAGUGAUUUGACUGGCCUCAUAAAGUUUAACUGUGACUUGACCUUGUUCACUAAGAUCCACGGCGGCGUGACCUUGUUCACUAAGGUCAGCGGGGACCUGACCUGACUCUGGACGGUCAGCGGGGACCUGACCUGACUCUGGACGGUCAGCGGGAACCUGACCUGACUCUGGGACGGUCAGCGGGAACCUGACCUGACUCGGGACGGUCAGCGGGAACCUGACCUGACUCUGGACGGCCUGUGGAGUCGCGAAGGUGCUCUGGACGGCCUCUGGAGACGUGAAGCGCCUCGGCUUCGGGAACCAUCUCGGGCACCGCAUCGGACACCGCCUCGGGCACCACCUCGGGAAUGGCCUCAGACCCCGCCUCGGCCACCGCAUCGGGAACGGCCUCGGGCACCGCCUCGGCCUCCGGGACGGCAGCGGGCUGCUCGGGAACGGCCUCCGGGACGGCAGCGGGCUGCUCGGGAACGGCCUCCGGGCCUUGAGGAACGGUUGAUGCCUGUCUCCUCCUCCGCCCUCUAUGACGGCGAGUCGGUGGUACCUUGUCCGGAGACUCAGGCAUUGAGUCGGCCAUCUUGUGCUGUGGCGCUGGGCUGGCGGCCAUCUUGUGCUGUGGCGCUGGGCUGGCGGCCAUCUUGUGCUGUGGCGCUGGGCUGGCGGCCAUCUUGUGCUGUGGCGCUGGGCUGGCGGCCAUGACAGGAUGAGUCUCAGGAGCGGUGGCCAUUUUGCGAACCGCCUCCGGGCUGGUAGCCAUUUCGUGGAGAGACUUUGGGGUUUUAAAGUCCUCUGCCUCUCCCACAGUGAAAGGAGAACCAC